rnacentral:lncRNA from 1 species
UAAGAAAGCUCGAACAAGAUUUAAAUAAGCAGGCGAAGAAAUAUUUAAAAAAUCCAUCCACCCCCAAUUUUGCAAAAUAGGGAGUUAAGCAAAUCUAAUGGCUUCUAACAUGGCUAUAUCAAUUUUCCUAGCCUUCCAUACACGUUUUGAUGCAAAAUACGAGUUAAAAAUAGAUCGAGAGUGUGUGUCUUGAAAACAAGUGCUAAAUGAUGUCUC